rnacentral:lncRNA from 1 species
AAAAACCAAGGUGAGUGCGAAGAGAAAAAAAAAAGAAAGAGGAUCAUCAGGAAAAAAAAAAGAGAAAAUAAAAUAUACUCGAUGAUUCGAAAGAAGGACUAGCCGAAGGAAGGGCACUCAGUUGAAAAAAAAAGAAUAACAAAGAAAAACCCAAGCUAUUGAAAAAAAAGAAAAAAAGGAAAAUGAAUAAACACAGUGAAAAUAAUAUUAACAUUGACUCUGAACCAAAAAACACGUGUUU